CAGCAGCCGCGGUAAUACGAAGGGUGCAAGCGUUAAUCGGAAUUACUGGGCGUAAAGCGUGCGUAGGCGGUGAGUUAAGUCUGCUGUGAAAUCCCCGGGCUCAACCUGGGAAUGGCAGUGGAUACUGGCUCGCUAGAGUGUGUCAGAGGAUGGUGGAAUUCCCGGUGUAGCGGUGAAAUGCGUAGAGAUCGGGAAGAACAUCAGUGGCGGAGGCGGCCAUCUGGGACAACACUGACGCUGAGGCACGAAAGCGUGGGGAGCAAACAGGAUUAGAUACCCCCGUAGUCCCUGUCUCUUAUAC
rnacentral:rRNA from 1 species